rnacentral:rRNA from 1 species
GACGAACGCUGGCGGCGUGCUUAACACAUGCAAGUCGAACGGAAAGGCCCCCAUCUUGGUGGGGGUGCUCGAGUGGCGAACGGGUGAGUAACACGUGGGUGAUCUGCCCUGUACUUCGGGAUAAGCUUGGGAAACUGGGUCUAAUACCGGAUAGGACCAUGGUUUAGUGUCUCAUGGUGGAAAGAUUAUUGUUUUGGUGCAGGAUGAGCUCGCGGCCUAUCAGCUUGUUGGUGGGGUAAUGGCCUACCAAGGCGUCGACGGGUAGCCGGCCUGAGAGGGUGGACGGGCACAUUGGGACUGAGCUACGGCCCAGACUCCUACGGGAGGCAGCAGUGGGGAAUAGUGCACAAUGGUCGCAAGCCUGAUGCAGCGACGCCGCGUGGGGGAUGCCGGCCUUCGGGUUGUAGUCUCCUUUCGUUAGGGACGAAGCCGCACUUUUUGUGGGUGUGGUGACGGUACCUUUGUUAAGAAGCACCGGCUAACUACGU